UGUACUGGCCUUCCGAGGCUGUGCACGCCCUGCUCAUCCACUCUACACCUGUGCACUUACUGUGGGCUUCAAUCGUAAAACGGGUCCCUUUACCGGGCUUGCGGAGCGUGUCUGCGCCUGCGUUUAUCACAAACUCUAUAAAGUAUCAAAAUGUGUAUUGCGAUGUAACGCUUCUAUAUACAACUUUCAGCAACGAAUCUCUUGGCUCUCGCAUCUAUGAAAAACCACCAAAAUGCAAUAAAUAAUGUGAAUUGCAAAAUUCAGUGAAUCAUCGAAUCUUUGAACGCACCUUGCGCUCCUUGGUAUUCCAAGGACCAUGCCUGUUUGAGUGUCAUGAAAUCUUCAACCUGCAACCUUUUGUGGUUUGUAGGCUUGGACUUGAAGGCUUGUCGGCCGUUCUUGGUCGGCUCCUCUUUAAUGCAUUUCUUGUUUCCUUGCGAAUCGCUCUCAUGUGAUAAUGUUACCCUGCACCGUGAAGCGUUUGCAAAUUCUAACGUCUCAGUUGGAACAACUUAUGACCUCGACUCAAACAAGUAGAACACCCGCUGAACUUAGCUAUCAAUAUCGGAAGAAC
rnacentral:rRNA from 1 species